rnacentral:rRNA from 1 species
CCUACGGGGGCAGCAGUGGGGAAUAUUGGACAAUGGGCGAAAGCCUGAUCCAGCCAUGCCGCGUGUGUGAAGAAGGCCUUCGGGUUGUAAAGCACUUUCAGUGGGGAAGAAAGCCUUGGGGCUAAUACCCUCGAGGAAGGACAUCACCCACAGAAGAAGCACCGGCUAACUCCGUGCCAGCAGCCGCGGUAAUACGGAGGGUGCGAGCGUUAAUCGGAAUUACUGGGCGUAAAGCGCGCGUAGGCGGUCUGAUAAGCCGGUUGUGAAAGCCCCGGGCUCAACCUGGGAACGGCAUCCGGAACUGUCAGGCUAGAGUGCAGGAGAGGAAGGUAGAAUUCCCGGUGUAGCGGUGAAAUGCGUAGAGAUCGGGAGGAAUACCAGUGGCGAAGGCGGCCUUCUGGACUGACACUGACGCUGAGGUGCGAAAGCGUGGGUAGCAAACAGGAUUAGAUACCCGAGUGUC